rnacentral:rRNA from 1 species
AUGAACGCUGGCGGCGUGCCUAAUACCUGCAAGUCGAGCGAACAGACGAGGAGCUUGCUCCUCUGACGUUAGCGGCGGACGGGUGAGUAACACGUGGAUAACCUACCUAUAAGACUGGGAUAACUUCGGGAAACCGGAGCUAAUACCGGAUAACAUGUUGAACCGCAUGGUUCAACAGUGAAAGACGGUCUUGCUGUCACUUAUAGAUGGAUCCGCGCCGCAUUAGCUAGUUGGUAAGGUAACGGCUUACCAAGGCAACGAUGCGUAGCCGACCUGAGAGGGUGAUCGGCCACACUGGAACUGAGACACGGUCCAGACUCCUACGGGAGGCAGCAGUAGGGAAUCUUCCGCAAUGGGCGAAAGCCUGACGGAGCAACGCCGCGUGAGUGAAGAAGGUCUUCGGAUCGUAAAACUCUGUUAUUAGGGAAGAACAAAUGUGUAAGUAACCAUGCACGUCUUGACGGUACCUAAUCAGAAAGCCACGGCUAACUACGUG